GCAGGUUCGUUGAACAAUGGGCAAAAAAUAAAGAGCGAAAAAAAAGAGAAAAAGGUCAUUUUCAGUAGAAGAGCAGGUUUAAGACUUAGACUCUGUAUGUGGAACGGAAUGGUUCUCGGUCUAUUGUGCUCGAGGUAUAAUGACAACAAAAGGAGCUCAGCUUGAUAACAAUGGAGCUGUAUAUUAAUUAAUUCACGACCUGGUGUUAGAAAAAAUUACCAACAAACGUUAAUCUUCAAAGCGAGGAAGCUGCUUUCAAUUAAUAACUAAAAUAUAACACUUAAACAGUUAAUUAUGGAGUUUGGAUCAUUUAAAUUAAUGUACAUUUACACACUGUCUGGCAAAUUUGACUUGUUGUGAAUUUCAUACCGCAAUUAAGUAAUAGCGUUUUUCGCAUUGGAGCCGGUUUCUCGUAGCCAAUCGCAGCUUAUGUGAGCUGCAGCUUAAAUCCUUCAGUAUUUAAUUAAGCUAAAUUAAAAAGUUUAUUUAACUCCGAUUGGUUGUUAAACCAAUAUUUAAUGUGAACUUCAGUUUUAAACGCUUCAAUGCCAUUUUAGCCACUUAGAUGGAACUCCAAAAGUAAAUAUUAUGUGGCGGUGGCAAAUGGAGACAUUAAGAACUAAAGCACAUAAAUACGUAUGCAAAUGUAUAUAUAUACACAAAACAACAUAAAAAACCAGUUUUUUUUAUGAGAGUAAAGUGCUUUUAGUACUUGAGUUGCGAGGGUUGAAGUUGUAUAUGUGAUAAAGUGCUCAUUUAUUGCGCUACUGCCUUUAAAACAAUGCAUUAAAUACGAAAUAAACAAAAAA